AGUGAACGCUGGCGGUAGGCCUAACACAUGCAAGUCGAACGGCAGCACAGUAAGAGCUUGCUCUUACGGUUGGCGAGUGGCGGACGGGUGAGGAAUACAUCGGAAUCUACUUUUUCGUGGGGGAUAACGUAGGGAAACUUACGCUAAUACCGCAUACGACCUACGGGUGAAAUCAGGGGAUCUUCGGACCUUUCGCGAUUGAAUGAGCCGGUGUCGGAUUAGCUAGUUGGCGGGGUAAAGGCCCACCAAGGCGACGAUCCGUAGCUGGUCUGAGAGGAUGAUCAGCCACACUGGAACUGAGACACGGUCCAGACUCCUACGGGAGGCAGCAGUGGGGAAUAUUGGACAAUGGGCGCAAGCCUGAUCCAGCCAUACCGCGUGGGUGAAGAAGGCCUUCGGGUUGUAAAGCCCUUUUGUUGGGAAAGAAAAGCAGCAGGUUAAUACCCCGCUGUUCUGACGGUACCCAAAGAAUAAGCACCGGCUAACUUCGUG
rnacentral:rRNA from 1 species